UGAACUACCUGUGAUCACAUCUGGAAGCCCAACUUGCCAACAGCAAAGGCAAGUGCAAUACCCUAGGAGUACCAACCAGCCACCUGGUAACAAGUUGAUUUCAAUCUUUCAGUUAUCGACAGAACAAAUUUUCUCACUUGAGUAGUCAUUCUGAGUAUGGAUUAGCUUUUCUUCUCAAAUGCUUCUGCCAACCCCGUCUUAUAGAAUGCCUUAUUUGUCAUCACAGUAUCUCACAUUUCAUUACUUUUAUCCAAGGAAAUAAUUAUUGCCCGCAGAGGGGAUGAAGCUAUGGGCUCUAGCUUAUAGUAUUCACUGUUUUUGUUGUGGGAUCAUGUUGCCUACUAUUCAGAAAUAGCUGGCUUUGUAGGGUAGUAGAUUGGUCCAGUUACAUUAGUUGGGAAAUAGUUCUUUUGGAGGUUGGAUGCUAUUCUACAAUGUGGAACAUGUGCUAAUCUAGCAACCAAUAUACAAUUCUGUUUAUCUUAUAGCUAGAAUACACUGGGCUAGAAAUUAAGGAGGUAAAGUGUGAAUUGCUCCUUUUACUACCCAAAAAAAUUCAACAUAUUUUCUUUCCAUCUUUAUAUAUUUGGUCUCUGCUUAUUUUAGAGGGCUUAAUGCAUAAAGAAAGAAUGUUUUUGUUAGGAGACAUGCAAUAGUUCCAUUGAAUUGGAAGUUGAGACUGUCACCUGGCAAUGUUGGUCUCCUCAUGUCACUGAUCUAAUGUACAAAGAAGGGUGUCUGUGGUGGCUGAGGUGGUUGAUCCUAAUUUCCAAGAGAAAAUUAGAUUGCUGCUGCACAAUGGGGCAAAGAGAACUGUCUGGAAAUCAGGGUACUCUCUAGGUGCACUAUUGUGACCCAAUAAAGUCAGGACUGCUAAAGCUUCAGACCCUUUAAAAAUGAAGAUUUGGGUUAUUUCACAAGCUUGUGAACCUUGAUCAAUUGAGGUGAUAGCUGAAGGAAAGAGGAACAAGUCAGUGAAAUAACAAAGUGUAAAACUCAACUAUGGCAUUGAGAUCAUUUAUAGAAAUGAGAACUAUAGAAGAUAGUAUUCUACCCCUUGCUUCUAUGUGUAUUUUUGUAUAUGUUAACUAUUUUCCUUACUCUUUUUCUCUAUUAUUUUACAUAGGAAUUGUUCAUUGGGAUUAACCUGACAAAUUGAUAUUUAGAUUACAAGAUAUACAGGUGGAAUUUGACCAACUAAAACAGAAGUUAACUUCAUCCUGGGAUGGAUAUGGUGACUGUUGGGAUCUGUCUCUCCUUUUCAGGGUGAUUUGUUUUUUCAUGAUGUGGCCCUGGCUGAUGUAAAAAGGAUCCAAUGGGGAGAGGUGUUUCCUAGUAUUAAGAACCGAGUAGGAAAGGAAACAGGGCCAGAGAAACAUGUUAAAUGACAUUGUGGAAAUGGAUGCAACUAAGUAAAUUAGAAUGUGGGAGAGAUGACAAGACAAUGACCAAUUUCUUCAAUAAACCAAUUGCAGAGAAGACCAAAAAAUGGAGGCAAUAAAGAUGAAAAGAGAUCAAGAAGCGUACCAAACAAUUCUUUGCUAUUU